AGAAGUGAACAAACCGAGACUUGGGGAAAGAGAAAAUGGCGACGGCAUCGGAAAAUUCAAGAGGAAUCGGCGGAGGUGAUCGAACGGCGAAAGCAGUCGUCGCCGAUCAGAUCACACAAGCCGUUAAUUCUACUGCUAAUCUUCUCCAACUGAUGCGUCAGUCGUCUUCUUCUCAGGCGCAGUUGGCAAAGCUCCCGAAGAAUCUUUUGGCGAAAGCUUCUCUGACUAAGGCCACUGGACAAGUAUGCGUUGGCGCAGCUUCCUCAAGUGAUUUCAUCUCUGGACGCUCAUAUAGAAAGUGGAUUGCACAGCGGUGUUCAUUUGAACACAGUAACUCAGUUACUUGAAAACAUGGAAAGCACACAGCUUCGUGCUCUUCGACAAUCUAAUAUUUCCCCUGUGACAGAUGACAAGUAGUGAUCUCCAAGAUAGGCACAUACGGCGUCUCCUACUUCGUUGUUCAUUCAUCUUCAAACAAUCACACUUCCCUACUUCGUUUCCACAACAGAGAGAAAUUUGUGGUGGUGACUUAGUUUUCGAUUUUCCUGGCGGUUCUGAUUCCAGAAUAGCUCUGGUUGUUAGCUAGAUUGCGACUUUUGAUAUCAGCUUUAAUCAGAUUCUCUUAUAACUCAGACUGAAAUCUCCCAUGUUCUUUGUUAUAGUAUAUAAUUGGGGUGUGUUAACCCACUUUUAGCUAAGUGUUUUUUUUUUGUAUUAUUAAAUUAGAAAAUUUGUUUUUAUUUAUUUAUUUAUAUUUCCAUUUUUGAAGUA